rnacentral:tRNA from 1 species
GGAGUUAUAGCUCAGCGGUAGAGCACUUGCCUCAUACACAUGAGGCAAUGAGUUCAAUCCUCAGCACCA